rnacentral:lncRNA from 1 species
AACCUGACCCCCUUGCUGUACAGUGGGAAAAUAAAAAAAUUAUAAAAUAAAUAAAUAAAUAAAAAAUACAAAUCUUAAAUAAAAAAUAAAUACAACAUGCGAAAACCAGAGCUUGCAGGAAAAGCUGUUUUAGUCACCAUCGUUUUAUUCCUGUGUUAGUCACCAUCCUUUCUUGGUUCUGCCCCAGUGCACCAAGGCGGUCUUCCCAUUGCUGAGUUCACGUACAACUCAGUAGUCUUUAUGAUGCCCUAGACUGCUCAAGGGCUUUUAAGUGUUCCUCAUCGCUCAUUCUGGAAGAUCAGGAUGUCUCAGGGGGAUACUUCCUGCUCUGUUCCAGUGGCUUCAGUGCCUGGUACCCCUCCACACCCAAAUCCCAGCACAUUACCUAUUUCUUUCUUGUGGCCUCUCCCUGUUCGACUCACCCUUUCAAAUAAAUCUGUGUUGAUGGUGCCCUGGCCUUAAAUUUGGGCUCCUCUCUAUAUCACAGGGCUCUGGAACCACACACCAAGGUUCAUGGCUAAGUCCUAACCAGUCUUGGCAAAGGCUUAGAGUCCCAGGUGUCCCAUGGAAAGCGAGAACUCGGACAGUUGUGCAUCACAGCACUUGUCCUGGUUUUUCUGUUUGAUCAAACUUCGGAGGAUGGCAGAUGAUGCUCACAUGACCUUUAGCUCCGAGAGGUCAAGAAUCAGUUCUGCGAGAAGGGGAUGUGAAUGACCAGCCUUUCCAGUGGCUAGGGAUUUAGUACAGGAAGAGCAGGCACAUGACAGGUCCUGAGGCUACCUUAGAGAAUUCAUUUGCCACAUAUUUUGCAAAGAUGUGAGGAUCUUGACAUUCACUUGUACGUAAGUGGCAGCCAACAGGGUCUUGGAGCUGGGCAGGGUUGGAAGAUGUCCUGGCUGAUGUUUUGGUCCCAUCUUGGGGUAUUAUUCCUUGAGAUUAUCUUCAUAUGUGCAGGUCUAGGAUGUCCCUAUCAUUACAACAAAAUCAGGCUGCGCUGUUCGGGGCUUUAUGUGGGGCUGGGAGUAACCAAGGUGAUUGACAGAACACGGAGCCUGUUUUUUCUUGUGACUCCCCAGCCCCUUCUAAUUCAACAGUCGGCAAAGGCUAGUAUUACUGAGGGAAGUGUUGUAUUGUUUAACUUCUUUAGCGGGGCUAGCACAAUUCUCAGCUGAUAGUCCCUCCUCUGGCUAGACCUUGAUUUCCUCCUCUUUGUAGGGGCGCAUCUGCAAAAGAAAAAUGAAUCUACCAAGCCAAGCCAGGGAGACAGUGGUAGGAGACAAGUGCCCAUGUGGCAAGAGAGAAUUUUCUAGAAGACCGUUCUCAUUCAGGGAACCUAUCCUGGGCGGUGGUUCGCCGAGGGCAGGGUCUGUGUUUCAGUCACCAUCAUUUCCAGUGCACAUUGGGUGGCAGCAUCUGGCAUGAACAGGUGAAUCCAAGGCUGCCCUUUAGUAUCCAUGACAGAUGCUCCCAGGGCUGAGACACCCUAUUUGCUAAAGUAAAGCCCCGCAGUGCUUGCCUCACAAUUCGUCACAUAGUCUCUUUCUCUGUUGUCUUCUAAAUCUCAUCCUGUUUCUCACUGUUUACAUUGAACAUGGUUUUUGAGAUCGAGCCCUAUUCCUAGUUGUAAAUGAUGAUUUCUGACUGUUGUGUAAUAUUUCAUUAUAUUCUUAUACUAAACCCUCUAGAGAUUGAUUUCUAAGUUGCCUCCAACAACUAACUCACUUUUUUCCCAAAAUGCAAUGUCUUUAUUUGUUUAGUGUUUACUUGAAUGGUUUCAGUCAUGAAUUCAUUGUUUCUUAACUAGUGUGUGAGGUCCCCUCGAGCAGAUAAUCAGUCUCUAUCUCUUAGGGUGUUUGUAGGUGUAGACGAGAUUAUAUGUAUGAAGUGCUUAGCACAUUAUCUGCCAAGCAGAAAAUCCUCAAUAGGUGGUAUAAGCCCUCCGGAGCCUAGAACACAUUAGGACUUUAAUAAAUACCAAUUAUAAUAAUGAAUGCAUAAUUACCUCUGGUGAUCUGGGGUCUCCUUCCCCAUAAAGCAUGGUCCCAGAAUACUUGAAACAUGGGGUAUUCAGGACAUAGUAAUUAUGACAGUCACCAUUCAUCCUCCUAAAUGAUUCCCCUUUUACAGAUGAUAAAACAAACUCAGAGAGGUUUCGCAUCUUGCUUAUGAUCAUUCAGCAUAGUUAGUGGCAGAACUGGAGCUUAAACCCUGGUCUAACUCCAAAGCUUUUAUUUGUAACCACUCUGCUGUAUCACCACCCCUGGGGAAGCUGCUGAGAUUAUUACUAUUUCAGCAACAAUAGCUUUUAUUUUCUCUGUGUUUGAAUCACAAAGAAUUUUAGGUUCAGUUAAUGUUUGUAGAGACCUAAUAUGUGCCAGGCCCCUUCAGGACCUUAUUUGAGGGACAUUUGUGUCAAUUACUGAAAGACGCUCCCUCUGGGUGAAUACAGCAGUGAGCAGAUGGCUUGGUCAAUAGAAGCCUGGAUGGAUUUUGGCCUCUGCUUGUCCCCUAUCCUGGGCAUCUUGUGUGCAGUACACAAACUGCCCAAGUGUAUGCUGUGCCUGGGGAACGUGUGUUUCCUCGGUGGUAACAUGAGGGACCUCUGUACCAUGCCACAGAAUCUUCCUCUUGCAACAGUCCUGUGGGGCACAUACAAUUCUGCUGGACAGAUGAAGAGACUGAGGUUCAGAGCUAGUCCUUUAGAGUUCCCCUUGUGGCUCAGUGGGUUAAGAACCAGACCUAGUGUCCCUGAGGAUGCGGGUUCAACCCCUAGCCUUGUCCAGUGGGUUAAGGACAUGUCAUUGUUGCAAGCUGCGUAGGUCUCAGAAGCGGCUCGGAUUCAACCCCUAGCCUGGGAACUUCCAUAUGCCGCAGAUGCAGCCUUAAAUAAAAGAAAAAAACAUGGAGUCCUUUGGUUUCAAAUGGCUAACUAUAAAGCAGAGUGAUCUAGUGGGGUCCCACAGAGGAAAGGAAAAGAGAUUCAGGAUUCACUAGGUAGCACCUGUCAAGCUUGGCAAGUGCUGCUGGGAUGAUCCUCAGGCUUUGAUGUAGCUCCUCCCGGUGAGUGAUGGAUGUGGUCCCCAUCAGAACUCCAGAGGAGAUGAAGUUCCAGGCAGGCUGGAAGCCCGCUGGUAAGAAAUCACCAGUGAGCUUAGGGAUGUGGGAUGGGAGUGCUUGAAGGAUGUUAUGAGCUCCUGGAAUAGGCUUCAAGUUUCAGGACACAUGCUGCACAAGGGAUUAUUAAAUAUACCUGCAGUUGCAGAGUAGCACAGGCUUAACCCAAGGCCAAGAGGUCCUGCCAGGGGCUUGGUGGAGAGGAAAAGGCUGUUGAGCAGUGAGGUUAAGAUGAGGCCUCCAGAGAAAGCCGGGCUGGGGCUGCUCUCUGGCUUGGCACUUACAAGCCCACCUCUCAGGGCUUUGAUUUCCUGUCUCCUCCCUUAUUCCUCUGUGUCUUUUCGGUCCUUUGGAGACUGAGUUAAUGAUCUCCCUGAAGAUCCACCAAUGUCCCAAAGUCCAAUCAGGGCCUCUCAUUUUAGAACGUGCUAUUAAAUCAAUAUUUCAGUGAGUUACCUGUCCUCCCACACUCAUAGGAGCGAUAAUUGCAAUAGCCAGGAUAUGGAGACAAACUAAGUGUUCAUUGACGGCUGAAUGGAUAAAGAA